CAUAAUUUCUGCCUAUCAUAAUUAUGAUUUGCAAUAUCAUAAUUUCGACUUAAUAUGUCAUAAAUAUGAUUUAGCAAAGCAUUUUUUUGGGGCUCCCAUAUUUAUCCAUACAGGAAUGAGCUCAAGGUUGAUGCUACUGAAGCGCCCAUCAUAGUCAAGUCGUCAGUCAUCAAGUGUGAUUUCUCCUCAUGUUUUCACAGACAGUAGCCACAGAUACAGGAUGUGUGAAGCAAGCUUCUUCACCCGAGUGUCGUGGUCAGAUGACAGAGUUCAGGAUCAUGAAAAUAAUCAUGCAGACUGUUCCUAGAAGCACAAGGAUGCCAGUUUGUCGGCUACAUGGACGACCUGCAGAAAACAAAGAUAAGUCCGUGAUUCAUUUAUAUUCUUAAUUCAUG